AAUAAAUCAAUCUUUCAAUUUUUACCUAUAAUAUUUAACUCUUCGUUUUAUUUAAAAAAAUUAUGAUUAAUAUUUUUACUUUUAUUAGAUGAUAAAUCGUAAAUAGUACUUUACGUGUGACUAAUUAUUUUAUAAUUUCUUGAAUUUUUUUCAAAUAAAAUGGAUGGCCAAACGUUGAACAUGAAAAUCAAAG
rnacentral:pre_miRNA from 1 species